GAGCAGAUGAAUUUUUCUGUGAUCCUUGUGUAUAUUAUAUAAUUUAAUUCAUCGUUUCAUUGAGUAUGUUGCUUGGAAACUGUCCAACUACUAAAUGAAAGUGAUGAACAAAGACCAGAUAAAUCCCUCUGUGUCCUUGACUCUUACGCUGUGCACAGGAGCAAAUCAACUGCGCAGCUUCACAAAGAAGUUUAUAUGAAAAGGUCAGGGACGUCACAAUAUCUAAAAAUUGAUUUAGUGCACUCUGAGUAAAUUUGAUUCCUCUGAGCAAACAAGAAAUACGUUUUUUUUUGGGACAAAGUUCACAGCAAUUUAUGACCAUUUGUGAGUUGAGAGCAAGAUAUCUUUAAUUUAUCGACAAAAAAAUGAUUUGGAAUAAAAAGAAAGGAUAGAAAUGUAAAACAAGGGGCAAAUGUUCCUCUCUAAUAGUCCAAAUUGUCCAAACAUGUUAGUUUUGUGCUGCUUUCUUAUCAGAGAUUUGCAAUAAAGUGCUGAUUCUCUCCUGAAAACCAUUAAAAUAGAUUCUGUUUGAUAUGUUUAUAUCUGUAAAUGACAAAUUUACCAAAUGUAUUAUCAGCACUCCCCCAGUAAUAUGUUUAACAGUCAACAGGGGGCGUUGUCUCUCAUGCUUCAUGUCUGUGAGUCAGCUGUUUGAGCCCAGCGUCAGUGAGAGGGAAUGAGAAAGGCUCUGAGCAUCCUUUGAGUCAGCAUUUCACUGAACAACAAUACUUCCCCGGUCUUUAUUUAGAAACCAGAGCAGACUUGGCUCGCAGAGUUGAGUCGGCGUAUCAUCCAAAACUCCAGAAAUUAAUUAGAAAUAAUGAGCAGGAAGAGGCAGAUGAGAAAAAAUGCCCCGAGUGUUCGUUAUUUGUAAUUUACUCUCCAACCAAAUUUAUCACAUUUGUAUGAAAAGAAUAGAUUGUUGCUCUUUGGUUGUGUCUACAUAUUAAGUUGGCUGAGAGGCAUCCUGUGAUUCACCCGCUGCAAAAUGGAGCAGAUAAUAUCUCAGACUCCAGAGCUGCUGAUGCAGCGGCAUGAUGGAGUGGCAGCCGCUAGUGAUGCCAGCUGGGCACCAGAAAGGGGCUAAAGAGGGUCAUCUCUAUGUCCAGACACACUCCACGUCUGUCCCUCUUUCCUCAUCCAUCUUCUCUCCUGCCAGCUGUCAUUUCUCCUCUCCUCCUCCUCCACGAUUCUCCUUCUCCUCAGUUUAACGUCACUGUCUCUGGAUUCUUCUCCUCCCCUCCUUGUCCUCUCCUCUGCAUCUUUCAUGCUCGAAUUCCUUCCCCCUGCAUGGCUGUGAGGAGUGUGUGAGACCCUUAAUGAGGAUUUCCAGGCUCCCAUUUUCACUCUAAUUCUCUAAAUGUUUGCUGAGCCUAAUGGGGCGGAGUGGGCGCCUUGGGGGUCUUUCAUUUUUAGGCCUCCUCUGAGUGUUUUGCAGGGAAAAUAGCAAAAAUGUCCCACUUCUUCCAUCUCUCCAUGUGGGUCUCUGUCGAUAAGAGGGAAAAACAAAGAGCUUGCAAAGAUUACACUACUUGAAUUUUCCAUUUUUGUUUCCCUCGAUGCUAUUUUUUGUGUUUGUAUGAUGGAUAUUAUGAUCUGUGUGCAAAAAUCUAUUGAAACAGUUGUCAAAUAAAUGGGGGGUAGAAAGGAGAGUUAAUGUGAGUGGUGGGACAAAAUAUUGGCACAGCAAUAAAUCUCAUCCUGACUCACAAAACAAUUAUCCCCUCGUGGAGCCAAAUAUCAAUGUUUAAACCGAAAAAUAUUUCACCGUUCAAGACAGCUCUCCCCUCCAGUUUGCCUCAGAGCAUCAUUACUUUUCACGACCCCUCACAGCUGCAGUAACGACUUUAAUUUUGUGUUUUCCUGCUGGGGACAUUUUGCAUUCCUCAGUUAAGCAGAUAUUAUGAAGUGUAAUUUAAAACAUUCUUGGAAAUUCUCAACUUUUUUAACCUCUCAACUUUUGCAGAAUUGCUCUGAUGGGAUCAUGAUACCAUAUUAUAUAUACUUGUGACCAAACAGUAUUGAUUGUAUCACAUCAAAUCAUAUCCUAUGGUAUUGUGCGGUAUCAUAUAUCUUGCCUUAAUGUUUUGUACCUUAUGCUACCCCACUUAAAACCUAUUUAAUAGUAUUGCGCCAUAUUGUAUGGUGUCUUUUUGUAUCUUAUCAUAUGUAACCUACAGUGUCAUAUCAUAUUUUGUAUUAUACUGUGUCAUAUCAAAUGAUAUUGUAUUGUAUCGUUUUAAAUAAUAUCUUAUGGUACUGUAUUGAAUUGUAUCUUACAUACGGUAUCAUAUCAUAACAUAUAAUUUAUAUAGUAUUAUGUCGUAUCUAAUCCCACUUUAUUAUUUCAUAUCCUACUGUAUCCCAUCGUAUCGUAUUAUAUCGUAUUGUAUCGUAUCAUAUCAUAUCAUAUCGUAUCAUAACGUAUCGAAUCAUAUCGUAUUGCAUUGUAUCGUAUUGUAUUGUACGGUACAAUACUAUAUUACACUGUAUCAUUUCAUAUUAUAUUAUAUUGUAUUGUAACGUGUCAUAUUAUAUUGUAUUGUUCUAAAUUAAUGCAUAGUUUGUAUUUUAUGGUAUCAAUAAGCUUUGUAUUGUUAUUCACAUACUUUUAGGUGUUUUAUUGUAUCAUAUAAUUUCGUACUAUAUAGUACCAUUAUGUUCGGUAUCAUCAUUAUUGUAAUGUAUUGUAUUUUAUCUAAAGUAUCGUAACCUAUCGUAUCAUAUCAUAUUGUGUUGUGUCAUAUCAUUUGGUUUCAUAUUGUGUGGUUAAAUUUUGGAGUCACACUAAAUCAUUCAGUUUUAGUUUUGUAUCAUAUUGUAUUAUACUGUGUUGUUUGGAUUAGUAUAUUAUAAUUCCGUAUUGUAUUCUAUCAUGCUGUUUCAUAUUGUUUUGCAUCAUGUUGUCUCAUUGCAGUAUAUUGCAUCAUAUUUUACCACCUUGUGUCAUGUUUCAUUCUCUUGUCUAGUAUUGCUUUAUUUUGCAGCAAAUAUCAUACAUGGCAUCUUUAAGUUCCUUGUGAUUCCCACUCCUUUAAUAUUUAUACAUCUGAAAGUAAACUUAUCAGCACCAGAAAGUACCAGGACAAAGUUGAAGUACCUUGUGUUUGUUUUAAAGUCCAGUUCCAAUUUGUCUUUAUUUACAUUCCGCCGCUGCCUUUUUAUCAGCUGGAUGACCAGUAACAACGAUGACCUUGCUCCCACUUCCACUGUGAGCAUGAGUGGGAGUCCAGUCCAGAGUCCCCCCCCUCCCUCUCACUCACACACACACACACACACACACACACACACACACACACACACACACACACACACACACACACAUAGAGGCUGUUAUCUAGCUCUGCAGAUUAGACGUCCUGUCAGAGUCCUCCUGCAGAGUGUGUUCCCCCCCUCAGGGAGUAAAUCUGGCAGGAGAUUCCUCCUCUAAGUCCACAUUCCUACACUCAUUCACUCCCCUCUCUAAGUGUCCCCUCUUUCCUUCCCUCCUCUACCUCUCUCCUUCUCUCACCGUCUAUUCUCAUCUCUCCAUCCUCUCCCUGCUCCCUCCUGAUUGGCAGCUGAGUGUGCCCGUGCAGAUAGGGAUCACAGAAUUUCCGACUCGAGCUGCCUUCAUGCCUUUUAAGGUGGUGUUUUCCCGGCAGGGCAGAAGUGUGUGAGAAACAGUCCGGGACAGGAGAGCUUGGGAACGCACCUCAGGACGAGGCAGGUUUGGAUUAAAGCAUGAGGAGGUGCGCAGGGAGCUGGAGCAGGAGGUGAAAUAUUUCUAAAGAAGAGGGUUGCACACACACAGGAGUAGAUUAAGAGACAAACACACUCUUUUUUUCUCUCUGGGUCGUCCCCACUCUUCAAAGAGGCAGACAGAGCUCUCUGAUGUGCACGGCUCCCUCCUGAAGCUGCUCUUUGA